UUUUCACCUUAUUUCCCAUUUAUUUCAGGCCUAACUCAGAAGGAGAGAAGAAGCGGAUCACUAUAUAAUCUAUUCAAUUUCAAUUUCAAAAGAUGCUGCUGCUGAUCAAAGGAUACUUUUACUUAAAUAAAGAAAUCCUCCUAGGGGAGAGAAGAAAGCCAAGGACACCUGGGAUAUCAGACAAAGUCCCCAGAGGAUAGCCAUCUUGAUCUCAGCAGCGUCUUGGCCAGAGAGCUGUGGAAGCCGAGAAACCUUCAACUAAUGGAAUGAAUACUACCUCCACUUUAUCUUCAUAGACUAAGACAAAAGGUCAAAUGUAGUUUUAAUACAUAGAGCUCAAGGUUACAAUUUGCCUCCCAUCAUUUUUUGUUGUUGUUUUUUCUGAACUUUUUGGU
rnacentral:lncRNA from 1 species